rnacentral:rRNA from 1 species
GAUGAACGCUGGCGGUGUGCCUUAAGCAUGCAAGUCGAACGGGUUUUGUAGCAAUACAAGACCAGUGGCAGACGGGUGAGUAACGCGUAGGAAUCUACCUUGAAAUGGGGAAUAGCUAGCCGAAAGGUUAGGUAAUACCGCAUGACAUCGCAAGAUCAAAGGCCUUAACCGGCCGUUUCAAGAGGAGCCUGCGUCCUAUCAGCUAGUUGGUGAGAUAACAGCCCACCAAGGCGAUGACGGGUAGGGGGUGUGAGAGCACGGCCCCCCACAAAGUCACUGAGACAAGGGACUUACACCUACGGGUGGCAG